GCUCGCACCUCUGGAGAAAAUUCCCCUUCCCCCAGUGCGCAGCACACCGACACCUCGGGGCAGGAGCACCGAAAGCUGUCUCCUAACAGAGCAGGUGGACGCAGCCCCGUGGACGCAGCGCCGGAUAAGGGCGAAAGAGCCAAACCUGUGCACUCUCUCCCAGCCAGGACUACUUUCUGGAGGCCAAUGACAGCCCCUCCCUCACACCGAAAUGAAGAUAAUUACACGGGUUUUUAAACCAGGAUAGAAGGGAGUUUAUUCGGGAGCAGUUCAUGGUCGUUUCCUAAGAGCAAACAAAAUUCACGCCAAACUCAUACCCUGCUCCACAGAGUCCUUGGUCUGGGGUAUUUAUGAUUAUUAUUGGAAACGGUUAUUCUUUAGAGGUGAUUAUUACUGAGGAGAAGGACGGCGCAGCCUGCGGUUCCAUCCCUGCAGCCCUUUCGGCUGUCCGCUCAGGUUGCGGCCGGGAGUCCUCCCAAGGGGUGAGAGAUGAGGUGCUGGAAAUUAAAACCUAACACCUUGCCCAGGGGCUCUGAGACCACUCGUCCUUUUAACAACCAACCCCCCCCCGCCCCCUCCCCAAAGGAAAAAAAAUGUUGCCCUGUCCCUUUUCUAGAGGAGGAAAGAAGAACGGUGCGUGACACGUGAAUCGUAAAAGUUCACUUUUGUUUGUUUAUUUGUUGAGGUAUCUUAAAUAGGGGAAAAGAAAGCACGACAAACAAGAAAGAAGCGGAAAGUCUGGAGGACUGUAACUUCUGUGGCUGGGUUUGAGGCGGGCGGACUGCGGCUACCUUUGGCCAUCUGGCUGGUUUAAGCUUUUGCCCCCAUGCUGUAUGAUUUUAGCUUAAAAUCUCUUCCGUUGCAGCGCCGCUUUUAUUGAAUUCAUCAAAAGCAAACUUUCCCCGAGGUUUUUUUUUUUUUUUUUUUUUUUUUUUUUUUUUUUUAAGAAGGGCUAAAAUAAUAAGUCGACCACUGUGACAUUCUCUGGGCUUAGGCCAUUUUUCAUAACGCAGCUGAUACGCUUUUGUGCAGCUAAGGCGACCAAACAGAUGAAUAACGAGAAAAGUCUCCCGAAAGCGAAAGCUUCCAGCUUUUCUCAUCUUUAAAAAGUUAAGCAAAGUGAGAGGUGCGUGUCGAAAAACUUCCCAAAUCCAAAAAAUAGCCCCCCUCCCCCCCACGCCAAAGAUCAGGGCAACACGUUAAUACCUCCGCAUGGUAACGAUGCCUUUAUAACAACUUACUGCACACACGCACACACCCGCACACACACACGCACACACACACACACACACACACUCACACAAAACUUUAAAGCUUGUGAAACUGCCCAGGUGGUGUUUAUAGGACCGUAGCCAGUGGGUUGUAAAGAAAUCCGAGACAUUUGAAGGAGAUUAUUUAAAAAUAAAUGACAAAACAUUUUUUUUUUCUUCAAUUUGCUCCCUGUUUCACUGUAUGAGCGGUGCUUAACGCAGGGCUUGGAGGACCAGGUUGUGUGCAGCGCUAAGGAACAGUCCCACAAGUUGGGAGGAUUUGGCAGGCGGGGAUCAAAGGCAGGAUAGAGAAAAAAAAUUGGCAGGCGAAGAUAGACAUUGUUCUAGUGACAAGAUGAGGGUCCCGAAAGGAGAAUGCUUGCUCCAUCGGAAGUGGCUGCGUGGCAAAGGGAGAAACCUCACUUUUCAAGCCCCUUUGCGAGGCAUUGUCUUUGGGGCUGGCGCUGCUGCCAUACAGUAGGGUCCCCAUGGCAACGCAACCUGCUGCUGCUGCUGCUGCUGCCCCUCUUCCAGAGUUGAAGGCACUGAAAGGCAGCUGAAGUGACUGGGCUUAAAGAGCAACAGAAUAAACAAUAUUUUGAUUCAUUGGGAGAAGAGAGAGAGGCUCCCGCCCCCCCACCCCCGCCCCCCGACCCAUGAAUGCUGGCAUUGUCCAUGCUUUUCUGAAUCUGAUUUACCAUAUCAUAACCCCUAGGAAGAAGAAAACAUCAAUAUCCCGAAGGAAUGGAGAUGUUUCUAUGGAAAACCUAGGAAUUUUAGUCCAUAACAGAUCUGGUGUAAAAAUCAAAGAGAUCAAAGGCGGCGCUCCCAGGAGUAUAGAUGCGUCUCUGAAUUAAAGAUGGACGAUGCAGACUACAAAGUACUUUUUUUCCACCCUCCUUUAUUCAGGCCUCUGUUUCCAUUUCAAGGGAGGCGCUGUCCCAACAUCAUAUCUGAGCCCAGACAGUCACCACGAACAAUGCUUGCGAAGGGGGAGAAGCGCUAAAGAAAGAAAAUCAUAACAACCAUCCGGCCUCGCAGGAUUGUUUCCAUUACAAACCCGGGCUCAACAAUUAAUUACGAAAUUGUUUAAGAAAAAAAAAAAGAAAAAAAAAGAAAGAAAGAAAAAAGAAAGAAAAAGAAUGAAGGGUGGUGGUGGGGAGAAAGGCUCAAGGCUCAAGGUUCAAGGCUCAAGCAAAGUGGUUGAUACAGUGGAUAAAGGCUACGGGGGUUGGGGGCUGGGUGAUGUAGGAGGCAGCCCCCCGUACCCCAGCCCUGCGGAACGCGGGACCAUAAGGAUCUGUGCGCAUCCGCGGAGGGCACCGCGGGCGGUGCGCGCUGCUCGGCCCCGCGCUCCCGGUCCCAUUGACGGUUCCGAGGGUGGUGCCGGGUCCGCUCGGGCCGGCAUCGCUCGGCCGGGUGCCAUAAAACAAAGCAAAGACACAUUUAAAAGAGCUAGGGGUAGGCAGCUCGCUUAUCUGCUACACGGCUGUCCCUCGGGGAGCGGGGUGUCCCUUCGGGCCCGAAUCCCCGUGAAGACACCCCUGCGGGAAGGGGAAGCUCUGCCCGUGGCGGACACCUCUGGACCUUUUCUUCUCCUGGGGGCCGGGGAGCGGGGGUGGGGGGAGGGCAGGAACCCGUUGUUACAGAACCCGAGAAGAUGAAUAUUGGAGAAGUCAAUUAAGUUGUUUGGAAACACACGCAGAAAAAAGUGCUGGGACUAAUGUUAUGAAGAAAGCCAAUUAAAAUGGUUUGAUAAGCAUAUGUAUUAGCAACAAGUGUAGCACAGAGGUCAGAAACAACACUAAGUAAACAGAGUUGACAGAAGAGUGAAUCUUUUGUGGCGGGUGCGCAGCUGUCCGGCCUCCCUUUGUCCGGGCUGAGGCUGGGUGCACGCUCCCUGCUGCCCUCUCCCCAACUCAAUGCACAAAAACAGAUUGGGAUGUUCUGCAUGCAUAGGCAACAUUGCAGCCCCAGUCCUCCCUUUUCUGUUCCUUCUUUAGGAGACAGGGCUCUCCAGACAUUUUUUCCUGACAGUAACAAAGCGGGGCUGUAAAACAGUUCAGAAUAGGAGGGGAGAAAGAAGAGAAAGGAGUCCCCGAGGGGGAAGAAAGCGCCAUGUCACAGGACAAAAGAAUAGGAAGUUGAAAAUAGAAAUAAAACUGAAAGCAAGAAUUAUCUUGUUAAACAGAGGUGCUUUUUGUCCGGAGUCGUCUUUGUGAAAGUUUUUAAAGUAUCAAGACGUGGAACAAGUGUGUAAGUCCCCACACAUACCGCAGUCAAAGAUUCAUGAGCUUCCGAGAGCCUUGAUGGCUUAUUUAUGUGUCAGCAACUUCUGCAGCUUAAGUGCGUUCUAAAAACCAGACCAGGGUCAGUGGGAGUCCCACGGACAUGGCUUAGACGGAGCGGGGCGGACAGGGGGAUGCCACCUUGGCCGAGGGAAGGAAAUACAAAGAUCACGAAGUAUCGAGCCGGGGUCUUUUCAUUUAAAGUGUUGAGAAUGGACCCGAGUCGGGCUGUUCGCUGCCGGUCCGGUCCCGCUGCCCACGGCCCGUGAGACUGGUUCGCGAUGGGGCCGAGCCGGGCAAGCGAAGGGAAGAUAACAGCCUUUUGGGACAGGCGGCGGAAGUGCCGGGGCUGAGCAAGCUGGGCCGGGUCGGGCCGGGAUGGGGCUCACAGCGGGCCGUCCCUCUCCAACCCAGCUGCGUUUCGUCCCUCGCACCCCGAGGGAAGGAUGCGCUUUUAGGAAGCGGUGCCGCGCUCCUUGCUCGGGCAGAGCACCGCUGCCGCCACCUCGAACACGCCUUGAGCUCUGCACUUGUCUCUCCGCGUUUAACGUCACUUAAGACAAUAAAGGGGAGAAACCCAAAGUCAAGGAGGGAGCAGCAAGACGAGCAAACACCCUUCUCUCCCUUCCCAAGAUCUGUUCUUCCUGUAUCCCUCCCGAAGGUACGCGAAGGAUGCCAGACGUGAACCUCGCUCGCCUUUCCCAGCCCGGAGCACAACUUUUGUCAGAGCAGAGCUGACAGGGAAACCUCCAGGGAAACCUCCAUCCCGGUUCCCAGGGACAACACGUGUUGCCCAAUGUCGCCCAAAUUGCCCACAACAUUGUCAGAAUAACUCCGCGGCAAGUGGCUUUUGCAGUCCCCGGGGAAACCGAUAGCUCUUGCACGCUUUUGAUCCCGGACUCCGGUUUAGUCAAGUUUCGGGUUGGAAAAGAUAAAUGCGAAAGCCUAAAUUUUAUGACUUGGGGAUCUGAAUAUGAAUCUUCUGUCUGGGCACGAGAACACACCAACCCACUGCAAAUCAGGAGGGGAAAAUCAGCAUAGGCUGUCACUGAGGCUCUCGCUCUGGCUUUGAAGCGGAGUCCAAGCACAAACUUUUCUGAUGAAUCGAAGUCGUUAAAUUUUAGUGCGGAUGAGUUAUGGCUCAGCUUCCAAAACAGUACAAAUGUUUAAUAAGAAUCGUCUCAUAAGUGGCCUUUUAGAAUUGUCUUGUUUCACCAGCGAAAAUUAAAUCUGGGACAUCUCGCCCCUUUCUGAAUGCCAUCUUCCCAGUACACUCCAUUUAUUAACAUUAUCAAUUCUCUCUCUCAAGUCUGUCGUUGUCAUGAUUUAAGGAGACUCUUUCCCUUAAAGCGGAGAUUUCCCAAUCGGAAAAACAGCCGACUCCAGUCACGCCGCUGCGUGAUUUCGGAAGCGCGUAUAAAAGGCCCCGGGGAUACUGAGAACAUACGGGUGACAGCGACCCCGCCGAGGGGCGGCUGCGGACCCCCCCUGCGCCCAGGUGCGGGCCGGGCCGGGCCGGGCAUAGAGAGGGGUCCCACGGGGAAUGCCCUCUGCGGGUCCGCGUGUGCGCGGGUUCCGCUCACGGCUGCGCUCUGCCCCGGGCUGCGCCCGCUCCCCGCUUCCUGCAGCCGGGUAAUGUGCGCGUUCGACAUGAAUUUCAGUGAAACCAGAUGCCAGCGUCGAAAUUAAUGCUAGCGUUUUGCAGAUUCUAUAACCAUUAAAGCUUCGAAUUAAUUAAGUUCUGCGGCUUUCUUUAAGUCGAACGCUAUCAUUUUAUUCCCAUCGAUGGGAGGCGGGUCAGCGCGCUUGGGCACAGUCACCAGAUACUUUCCAGAAGUUUAUUUGUACAUCAGAACACGUUCUGAACCGAUUCCAGGAACCCUCUGCUUCUUAUCCACGAAGCCUGCAAGCUUUGGAGAGCUCAGUAUAAAUAGCGUGCACCAGCCCGUAACUCCAGCAAAGCAGCCCCCAGCCCUCCCAACCUGGCCCUUGGAAGGCUUGUUUGCAUUUUUGGGGGGAGAAGGAUGCAGGUUUCUCUUUUUUCUUUCUUUCUUUUUUUUUUAAUGUCUCUUUUACUGUGCUUUUCCCCCCUUAUUUUUAUUAUUAUUAUUUUUAAUUACCGUCGUUUUUUUGGAGAGGCACUUUCCCGUAACCCCGCCCCGACACAGCCAGGUAAAGACAACAGACGGCACCUAAGUAACAGAUGUUCACAUAGGAGAGGGGUUGACCGAGGAACUCUCUUGUUCACCCCCCUGCAAACAAAAAAUAAAAUGUUUCCUAAAGCACAGGAAAGCCCCGAUGACCUUACAAUUCACCCCACACAUUAAAACAGUGGCUGCACGGCUGCCUGCCUGGGAAGAGAAAGCAAUAGACUUAAGAGGAAAUUGAAACAAAGACAUCAGAGUUGAUCUGGUACAUCUUUUGGAUCAGAUCAAGACAACUGUAUUUGAUUUUCUUGGCUUUACAGGGAGCACUAGGAAGAGCAAACCGCAUCAAGGUGGGGCCCGGGGCUGCCAGAAGGGCAGGUCCGACUGAGCCUGCUGCUGACAGUUGCAGGGAUGUCUCUGAAGGGCUGUGGAGCUCUUUGCUAAAAGGGGCGAACGCGUCCCCCGGCAAAACCCAGCCCUGGGGCCACGGCUUGGGUCCCAACCUCUCUUCUGCUUUCUCCCGCCGACCUUCAGGGCUGUCUGUCUGUGUCUUCCCGUCCUUCCGCCAGGGUCUCCCCGGCCCCGCACCGCCCGCUCGCCCCGGAUCAGCAAUCCCCGCUGCUGUUGGGGGGGGGGGGGGGGGGGGGGUCCCGCUCUGCGGGGAGCUGCGCCUCGCAAAGACUCGUUAUAGCCCUUUAGCGGAGAGGAUGACGGGUUAGAGGCGGGGGGCAGGGGUUAUCCCACCUCCGAGGGUCACAACGAGAAGAGCGCGUUUUUGCGCAGACUUUCGAGAGAAACCAGAGGAGGAGGGCGAGCCUUGCUGAGCAGGACAGCAGCGCUGUGCGCAGCGACGCCUGAGCAGCGGGAAUGAACGCUCACCACCGGUUCUUUUUUUCCCCCGUUUAAUCCCACAAUUACCAUUACCCCCGCAUGCUUUCCCCUGCGUGUCCUCAUUCAAUUAAUACAAGAAAACAAAAACAAAAACAGAAACCAACACAAAACCGAGGAAGAUAACUGUACCAGAGGCCUUUGAAACGCCGAGCGCAUCCAGGGGUUGGCAUUAGAAAAACGCUCCGCGCCGCGCUGCGCUGCGCGCCCGGGGACCGCGGCUGGGGCUGUCCGGCCGCCCCGUGCGCCCCUCCGUCCCGACAUCGCGUCUGUCGCGACAGCCGCCCAAAGGGGAGGAUGGAGAGUGCUGCCGUGCGGGGCGAUUCCCCAGACAUUUCGGAAGUGGGAAGGUUUUCUGGCUUUGCGUGGCCAGAUAUGGGGAUGGGACUCGACCGAGCUCACCGAGACCCUCUGGGGAAUGUAAAUAUUUCGGUUUUUUUUUUUGUUUGUUUUCUUCCCAUGAGAAAAAGAUAGAAAAGCUCUCUCUGGGGUAGGUCCCUGCGCGGCAGUUUGCUGACCGUAUCCCCUCGCUAAGGGACAUCGGCAAACUCUGCCGGCAAAGGUUUCUCCCUUCGUUGCCAAGGGCCACAUUUCCAGCAGCAAAGCGCUUUUAAUACUUUAAUUACAUUUAAAGAACAUCCCGAGUAUAAGGAUGCAGUUUAUCGGAAUAUUGCGAGCGUAUUUCAAAGAAGUCAAAUACCCGGAGUUAAUCAAUAUUCAGACACUCGAGGCUACAAAGCUAGGUGAAAACAAAGCCUUUUUCAGCAGAGUAGCAGUAAUAUGCGGCACCUGAAGUAAGUCACUGCUGGGGAGCUCUGUCAGACACUACUAAUUAACCUACUUUUCAACCGACUCGAUGUCAACUUUUUGUAAGCCGGGAGAGAGACGCACUUUCUCCGGAUUCCAUCGUCGCCCGCCGCCGUCCGGCCCCGCGCACCCCUGCGGGCGGUGCCGACCCCACCCGGAGCCCCCCGUGCUCCGGGGACCAGACAGCGUCGGUGCGGCGAUCUGAGCGGCAUCCGACUUCUUAUUAUUCUCCUCUCUCUUUUAAGUGGUUCUUGGAGCGUGUUAGCCCAGCGCUGCUGGUAAUGACUUCUUUUUUUUUUUUUUUUUUUUCCCCCGGAGUGACCCCUGCCUCCUAAUUGUUACAGGAGGGUGAGCAGCCGUGGGACAGCCCCUUUCAAACAUCGGAGGCUCAGUAAAGAAAGCCCGCUUUCCGGGGAGAUGCGCCACGAUGCUGCUUGUUUUACUUUAAGCAACC
rnacentral:lncRNA from 1 species